ACAAAAAAGAAACCGAGUAAAUAAUUGAUUGUUUAAGAGACAUGUUGGUUGGUGAGAAACAUGACAAUGAUUAUUGAACGCUACUUCUUUUAUAAAAGUUUAAUAAACUUAAAGUGAUGACUUUUAGUCAUAACUAGGGUGGUACCGCGAUACGUUCGUCCCUUUU
rnacentral:ncRNA from 1 species